GAUGGGGGUGGCGUGGUGACGGUGCCCGCAACGGUGUCCGGCAUCGUAGGGGCGGGUUUGAAACCCGCCCCUACCACCA
rnacentral:tRNA from 1 species